rnacentral:rRNA from 1 species
CGGGGUGAGGAACACAUCGGAAUCUACCCUGUCGUGGGGGACAACGUAGGGAAACUUACGCUAAUACCGCAUACGACCUUUGGGUGAAAGCGGGGGACUCGCAAGAGCCUCGCGCGAUUGGAUGAGCCGAUGUCCGAUUAGCUAGUUGGCGGGGUAAUGGCCCACCAAGGCGACGAUCGGUAGCUGGUCUGAGAGGACGACCAGCCACAUUGGGACUGCGACACGGCCCAG